rnacentral:rRNA from 1 species
AUUGAACGCUGGCGGCAUGCUUUACACAUGCAAGUCGAACGGUAACAGGCCGCAAGGUGCUGACGAGUGGCGAACGGGUGAGUAAUGCAUCGGAACGUGCCCAGUCGUGGGGGAUAACUACUCGAAAGAGUAGCUAAUACCGCAUACGAUCUAUGGAUGAAAGCGGGGGACCGUAAGGCCUCGCGCGAAUGGAGCGGCCGAUGUCAGAUUAGGUAGUUGGUGGGGUAAAGGCUCACCAAGCCAACGAUCUGUAGCUGGUCUGAGAGGACGACCAGCCACACUGGGACUGAGACACGGCCCAGACUCCUACGGGAGGCAGCAGUGGGGAAUUUUGGACAAUGGGCGCAAGCCUGAUCCAGCAAUGCCGCGUGCAGGAAGAAGGCCUUCGGGUUGUAAACUGCUUUUGUACGGAACGAAACGGCUCUGGUUAAUACCCGGGGCUAAUGACGGUACCGUAAGAAUAAGCACCGGCUAACUACGUG